rnacentral:rRNA from 1 species
GACGAACGCUGGCGGCGUGCUUAACACAUGCAAGUCGAACGGAAAGGCCCUUCCUUUGUUGGGUGCUCGGGUGGCGAACGGAUGGGGAACGCGUGAGUAACCUGCCCUUGACUUUGGUAUUACAUAACGAAACUGGGGCUUAUACCGUAUAGGAUAUCCUGCUUCAUUGUCGUGAUGGGACAGGGUCGGCGGUUGGGGAUGGACUCGCGGGUUUUCAGCUUGUUGGUGGGGUAGUGGCGUACCACGGCUUUGACGGGUGGCCGGCCUGAGAGGGUGACCGGCCACAUUGGGACUGAGAUGCGGCCCAGAAUCCUACGGGAGGCAGCAGUGGGGAAUAUUGCACAAUGGGGGGAAGGCUGAUGCAGCAACGCCGCGUGCGGGGUGACGGUCUUCGGGUUGUAAACCGCUUCCGCCUGUGACGAAGGGUGAGUGACGGUAAUGGGUAAAGAAGCACCGGCUAACUACGUG